rnacentral:tRNA from 1 species
GCCCCUGUAGCUCAAUGGCAGAGCAGCGGCCUUUUAAGCCGAGUGUUGAAGGUUCGAUUCCUUCCGGGGGUA